rnacentral:misc_RNA from 1 species
GUAGGCCAUUAGAAGAGAAGGAGGUGGGGUACAUGGAUCUAACAGCAGUAGUAGGUUUCAACACCAUCAGCAAUAUCAGGAGCAACCAACCCCAGGGGGAUCCCGUAGAUGUAGGCCAUUAGAAGAGAAGGAAAGAACAAAGCUUAGGGAGCGACAGCGAAGAGCUAUUACUGCAAAGAUCUUGGCUGGACUCCGAAGGCAUGGGAACUAUAACCUUAGAGUUAGGGCCGAUAUCAAUGAUGUAAUUUCUGCUUUGGCAAGGGAAGCAGGUUGGGUUGUUCUUCCAGAUGGAACCACCUUUCCCUCAAGAUCACAACCACAGGGCACAGGUUCUGCUGGUGGAACACCCACCACAAUGGUGACUUCAUCAUCUUCACAUAUACCUACACAACAUAUUCCACCUGGUUCGUUGAAAGGUGUGCCUUCUGGGUUUCAGAACACAGAUGAUCAGAGUGCCUGUCAAAUGAAAAGUGUUCUUGUUCCUACUUCAUCCCCUUAUGAUUCAUCAUCCACUGCGCGAUCACAAACUUCAGCCAUGGUGGCAGAUGGACUAGACACACAAAAUGACCCAUUUCUUGUAGGGUCUGCGGAUUCAAUCGACAAGCAGGUUGUUGACAUCCACACAAAACUACAGGAGCGUGAUUUUGCUGGGACACCCUACAUUCCUGUUUAUGUUAUGCUACCUUUAGGAGUUAUUAAUAUGAAGUCUGA